CCUACGGGUGGCAGCAGUGAGGAAUAUUUGUCAAUGGACGAGAGUCUGAACCAGCCAAGUAGCGUGAAGGAUGACUGCCCUAUGGGUUGUAAACUUCUUUUAUCUGGGAAUAAAAUGUUCCACGUGUGGGAUUUUGUAUGUACCAUAUGAAUAAGGAUCGGCUAACUCCGUGCCAGCAGCCGCGGUAAUACGGAGGAUCCUAGCGUUAUCCGGAUUUAUUGGGUUUAAGGGGAGCGUAGGUGGAUUGUUAAGUCCGUUGUGAAAGUUUGCGGCUCAACCGUAAAAUUGCAGUUGAAACUGGCAGUCUUGAGUACAGUAGAGGUGGGCGGAAUGCGUGGUGUAGCGGUGAAAUGCUUAGAUAUCACGAAGAACUCCGAUUGCGAAGGCAGUUCACUGGACUGCAACUGACACUGAGGCUCGAAAGUGUGGGUAUCAAACAGGAUUAGAUACCCUGGUAGUC
rnacentral:rRNA from 1 species